UACACUCCUACGGGAGGCAGCAGUGGGGAAUAUUGCACAAUGGGCGCAAGCCUGAUGCAGCCAUGCCGCGUGUAUGAAGAAGGCCUUCGGGUUGUAAAGUACUUUCAGCGGGGAGGAAGGCAAUACGGUUAAUAACCGUGUUGAUUGACGUUACCCGCAGAAGAAGCACCGGCUAAAUCCGUGCCAGCAGCCGCGGUAAUACGGAGGGUGCAAGCGUUAAUCGGAAUUACUGGGCGUAAAGCGCACGCAGGCGGUCUGUCAAGUCGGAUGUGAAAUCCCCGGGCUCAACCUGGGAACUGCAUUCGAAACUGGCAGGCUUGAGUCUUGUAGAGGGGGGUAGAAUUCCAGGUGUAGCGGUGAAAUGCGUAGAGAUCUGGAGGAAUACCGGUGGCGAAGGCGGCCCCCUGGACAAAGACUGACGCUCAGGUGCGAAAGCGUGGGGAGCAAACAGGAUUAGAAACCCGGGUAGUCCCAUGAU
rnacentral:rRNA from 1 species